rnacentral:rRNA from 1 species
AUGUCUUUCUACAUGGUGGCCGCUCCCCUCGAUCCCCUCCAUCGCCUCCGCCGCCGCCGAGCUAGGGUUCUCACCCGCCGCCGCUUCCCUGCUGCUACCCGCCACCGGAUGCCCUCCACGGACACCACCACCAUGAUGGCAGAAGGAAGAGCAAGAGGGGUCGUCGAGGAUGGGUGCCGUCAUGAGGAUGCUGGCGCCCGUGUGCGGUGA